CUGUGGUGCUCUUGUUGCUUGUGUGGCAGCCACUCAAGGGACCCCAGCCCUGCUGGAGCAGGACAGGACCCAGUGACAGCCUGACAUUGCCCCAGAGGCUCCUUAACUCCUGGAUAACUUCAUGCUCAGCUGCUGAAGGCAAUGGGAGGUGGACCAGCCCUUCAAAGUAAUUUCACCUGAAUCAUUCCUGAGUGGGCUUUAAGGUGGCUGCUGGGUCACUUUGGUCAGUGGGAUUGGAAGAGAGCCAUCACCUGCCUCCUGGAUGGUCUGGAUGGUCUGCCAGCCUGCUGUGUGUUCUGUGCAUGUGAAGCAGAAGCAGAAAGACCCCUCUGAAGCUGGGUGUUGCUCAUUGCUCUCAUUCCAGGUCGAUCAGGGUUUACAAGGUUUGGGAUAGUGCAUCUUUAAAAAGAAAAUACAUGAAAGCAGAUGGCCCUGUGGUAGCUGAGCAUGGAAGGAGACGCCUGAAGAAAGAGUGUUGUGGCAGGAGGGAUGUGUUAGAUGAGGGAGCAGAGACGAGCCAGGAAUGCAAGGAGGCAGCAUGAGGGGCACACCAUUUCCAGGAGGCUGGAGGCGUGGGAGGUGCUGCACUGCCGUGGCAGAUCUCGUGGAGCAGGUGUGCAGGGGCAAAUUGCCUGCCUGCCACCCCCUGGGCAUGCUGGCAGCAUGUGCUGGGAAAGAGCCAGGCCCAAGGUGUGAAGAGAGGCAAAAACAGGGAGAGGAGAAAGAAAAGGAAGGGAAAGCCCCAAGAGGAACGUGGACAAUGUGACAAGACACAGGGGGAGCCACCUGUGAAGGUAACCGUGAGUUUCUGUUUAUCUUGCCUGUGGUUAUACUGCAAGGAGGUUUUGAACUGCUGCCUGGUAUGACUGUCAAUUAUUUUAACUUGUAUUUCUCACCUCAGUCCCCAUGAAGUGCAUUUGACAAUAAUUAAUUUUGCGUGUGCAACUGAGAGUGUAUCCUACUCCUGCAGAGGUGUCAGCUUAAUGGGAUAUGGCUACAGGGGAUAACAGGCUGUGCCACCCCAUUAGGGAAUUUGGGGGUCACCUGGUCAUUUAGACUAAUAUUUUAAUUGUUGUCACAUAAGGUUUCUCAUAGUUGAAUUGGGAACAGAUUAACCUCUGUCUCCCUGAACUUGCAUGCUGCCAAGCUCCUUAAACACCAUUGCUAAUUUUAUUUUCUACUUUCAGGGUGUAUUUAAGAUAAUUCUUUUUGUUUCAUAGGUUAAAGAGGAAAUAUUCUAACUGGCUGAGAUCCCAGUGAGCAAUUACAAAUAUUUUAUUAUAGUUACAGGACUUGGAAUUCAGCCUCAGGCUGUGGGCAUCAGAAAAUCCAUGUGUGGAAAUCCCAAGUGUUGUAAGCCCGGGAGGGUUUUGUAUGGAGGGAUUCCUUCUCAUUUUAUUGAAGUUAAACUCUUGGUUUAAAAAUAAAAUACAAAACUUAGACUUGUAAAUGAAAGGUCUUCAACCAGCUUUUGACUGUACCAGUUAGAGAAGGGUUAAUUGAGCCUCUUCAUCUCCAUUGCAGUUAGCACAGAAGGUCAGUGGUGGGAGAAGCCAGGUCCACACUGAAGGCUUUUGAAAUAGCCCCCUAACUAGCCUAAUGAAUAUGCUGGUGAGAUAAACAGGUCAUUUAACACUUUUCAUGUCGCUAUUGUCCAUCCAACCUUAAAUGUCAACUCUGUCACUCUGAUAGGCUGGUUCUGCUUAAAAAGGUUUCUUGGCUUUGUUCGAUUCCUAGGAGGGAUUUUCCCUCCAUCCUUACUCCUAAUUGCUGGCAGAACCCUACGGAUGUAUUUAUAUCAGCCCUUUCAUUCGGGUCAAGUCUCCACCAGAGGAUUUUGCCCGAGUGUUGAAGAGAUGCAAUGAAGAUAGAAGUGGAAGCCCGAGUGCAGUUUUAAUUAUCCUGCUGGAACUGCAGCUCAGUGACCACAAUGGAACACUGGCUGAGGGCAGGAUGGUGUGAUAGCUCUGCUGAUGUGCUGGGAUUGCUGUGCCCAGGCCAGGACAGUCUCACAGCGCUGCUGAGAGGGAGCUCAGCUGCCUGUGGCCAUCCCAGUGGGCUAGUGGAGGGUGCCCUGUGCUGGCCCCUGCCUUGUGCUAAACCCCGGUGACAGAGGGGAUGUCCCUGAUGUGGUGUUUGUGCCAGGCUGUGAGCACAUCUUUGGUGUGCUGAUGUUGGAUGUCCAGGUUCCUUGAAGCAACAUCUCAUGGGAACCAUGCCUGAGAGAGCUGAGUGUUUUUCACAAAUGUUUUCUGGAACUUCCUCACCCUGUGAACAGCAAGUGUGUUUCUUCUUGGGACACUUCCAUUUUUUUCUGUGACCCAUGGCAUUCUGUGGCCUAGCAGGCCUCAGAAAAUUACUUUUUAUCUCAGGAGGACUGCAUCAGCUUUCCUGUGAGAUUUCUUGAAGGCUGCUCUAUUCCUUGCCUUGAGUAAGCUCCCCAGUGCCAUGGUCAGGAGCACAACAGCAUAGGUGCUUCUGAUUUAACAUCACAAUCAUGGGAUCAGCAUAUUCCAAAGGUGGGCACAGAGCAAAUGGACUGAUGCUGUAUUGGUAUCCAAUACCUCAUUGCAGCUAUUUGCCCCUGCAAACUUUCUUGGCUUUCUGAUACCUACUGAUAGAUAAAAAAGGUGAAUUUCAGGUACCAGCACUGAAAAAUGAAGGCUGAUGGACUGAAAUAGCACAUAUCCAAGCAUGUAUGCUCCAGACCAGAGGAGCUUACGUGGCUAUUCCCAGAAAUGCUGCCAAAUCUGAGCCCAACAAGCCCCUCAGUAAGGGAACUGCUCUGACAAUGUGCUGUGUAUUUGAGCUGCUCCUCCGAAAUAGGAAUCAGGGCAAAUUUUAUUCCUCCUAGAAAUGAUGGUGUAUGUUUGGGAAGCUUUUCAGCACAAUAGCUCAUUUUGGGGAUAUCACUGUACUGAAGGCCCAAAUAAUUUUUCUGUGACUGGUGUACUUCCAAUUCACUGAGACGCCUUACACUUUCAAUGUGUGAAGUCACACCAGCCUCUGCCUAGCUACUAGUAGUUGAUGCUGCCCAUGAGGAGGAUGUCCAGCACAGCAAGCACAUGCUCUGACCAGUAUUGGACAAGCCCAGUAAAGACAUCACAUCAGCUCUUUGGCUGAAAUCAUCCCAGGUGUGGCACAGUGCAAUUAGCAAAGGCUCCAGCACAGGGUAAUGUCAGGCUAACUUACCACGUCGAGACAAACUGGAUUCACACUGGGAAGCUUGUUAAAGGUCUUGGGGAUUAAUCUUUAACAUAGGGUUGUUGUCCUCCAUGAUCCUUCCGAGAAUCCAUUCAUGGUCUCCCCGAUGGGAAUGAGAGGUGGAGGAACCUUGUGAGGAUGGCUGGAUGAGCUGUGGAGCUGAUCAGUGUUCCACAAAGCACUUACAGCUCUGGUCCUUUUCGGCACUUGUAUUUCUGAGUAGCUUAAGUACACAGUGGCCCUUAAUUUGCUGUCCUCUGGCACAACAGAAGAUGGAAGGAGCUGUCAGGAGGCCAAUCCCACCAAGCUGUCACUGAUGUUCAGAUGAGAUGUGGCUGUUGGCUGAGUAAUAUGUGAACUUACUCUAAACUUCAGGCAAUUACAUGGAGCAGAAGAAGGCAAUUUCAUUUGUGAAUGACUUUACUGAAUUUAAAGUAUGUUUAUGUAGUUUGUUGAUUUGUUGGAGGGGUCCUCAGUGGCUCCAGGUUUUUUCACAGCUGUCUCCCUGUUCCAUCAUCUCCAGUGGAAGAGAAGAUACUGCUUCAUCUUGGCAGGUAACAGCAUGGACUCAGCUGCUUGUAUCUCGUGUUGGACAGCACCAACAUGGUGUACAUGGGCCAGAAGCCUUCAGUGUUGGUGACUCUGCCUGGGACAGGUCCUUGCCACCCAUCCUCUCAGCAACAAGCUACUGCAAGUAUUGGGAGAUGUCUUCUUGCUAUGGGACCUUGGCCAACAUUUUAGGCCUCAGUCCUUCUAUUCAAGGUAUGACUGACCUGGGUCCCUGCUGUGGGAUGUAGGGUAUGGCUGACAGUUGCUCAAAAAUGUAGUAUGUGUUUGCAAAAUCAUUCUGCCUGGUGGGGAUCAGGUCAGGAUUUUCUGAAGGGAAGGUACAAAAUUAUGUAUUGAGCUCUCCUACAUCAGUGCAAACAUUGCUGCCUGCUGUGCCAAAAGCCAGGCGUCCUAAAGUUUCUUUAAGUUGUGGCUUUUUUCUUAUGCUUCUUAUAGUUAAAUACAUGGUUAUAUGUAAUAUUAAAAAAAAAAAAAAAACAAACCAAAAAACCAAAACAAACCCAAACACGAAAACAACCCCAAACUCCCUAAAAUUUACCAAACCCCCACUUGGGAGUGUCUCUGCUGCUGGCUGUAUCCUUCUGCACACUCCUGUCUUUGCCUUGGCUCUGGUAGUCACCUCAUUCAUUGGUACACUGGUUCAGUCCACUAAUCCAGCAGAAAGCUAACCCAGCAUAAAAGGAGGCAGAAUUUUGGGCUUUGUUUGCUCUUUACUGGGUUAGUGAGCUGCCUUGUCUCCAAAAGGGGCCAGGAGAGGAGAGGUGAGCUGCAUGAGGAAGGGGGACUGCAAGAGGCUGCAGUAAAGGGCUAGAUUUGCUCAGCCAACUUUGUGUGUGGUUUUUUUGGUGCACAGCAGGACAGGGCUCUGACACAGGGCCAGGUGCAGUGUGGGGAGCUGAGGGCACCGCAGGAGAAUUGCAGCAGUGGCAGUUCUGGGGGCGAGGAGAAGCUUUCCCUCUGGGGGUUAUGUUCACCCAUUUGCUACUCAGCCCUCUUCUGCUUUCAAAAGCCUGCUGCAAGUGCUAGGAUAAAACCUCCAACCCAGCUGUGUCUCAGCUACCAAAAUAUCUCCUUUGCCCCUUGGCCAGCUGUCAAAACUUUCCUGGCCUUCCUAGAACAAGUGUCUUAGGGGAUGUUUCCUUUGGCUGAUGAGAGCUCAGGGGGAUGCUCUGGAGAUGACUGUGGGACAGCAUGUUCACUGCCAGGUGUCUCCCCUAAGCCAGCUCCAUCCCCUGAACUGCCUGGCCAUCCCCUUAGUAAUGCUCUCUGCUUGGUGUGCUCUGGAGGGUGACACUGUGGUUUGAGGAAGAAAGUGCUCCAGAAUAAAAAAUUGUGCAACUCAAGAGUCAAGAAAAAAAGCCUUAAUUAUUCAACUAGUUUGGAACACUUGAAAGUAUCCCUAAAAAUAGGUGAAACGGAUGUUUGUCAGCUACAAAGAGAUUUUCCUGCAGUAGUAUUGCUUGUCUUAUUUUAUGAUGAUGCUACAGAAUACAGUCCCUCAGGUAACCUCAUUAAUGUUUAUGAACGAACCCCUUGUUUUAUACUUUUGGUUUGAGAAGGCAGAAAUAGGGCAAGAGGCUAGUAAGACUGAUUUUAUCAUAUGUGCUUUGAAAAGCUCAAGGUAAGCUUAUAUCCCAUGGCUGUAAGGUCUCUGUAAACAUGUAAUGUACAUGGGCCAACGAUUGGAUUGGGUGCUUGCUAGAGUUUUACCCUAAGGGAGAAAUCCAGGCAGGACUUUGGCUGAAACCCUGGGUGGAAUUCUGCACGCUUCCCAGUGGGUCUGUCAGCAGGAGGCUGGCACUCUUGUGUGCCUCAUCAGUCGCGUUGUUUUGAUCUCUCCCGGCAAAGGCAACCUGUGGCCAUAUGUUGUUCUAGCCACAAGCGCUUCCACAGGGCGGUAUCGGGUGAAGCCUGCUGCCUGACAGCGCCUCAGCCCAGGGUGGAGGCUGCUCUCCACUAUCUGUUCCUUAAAGAGGGCAACAGUUUCUUCUGGCUAUCACACCAGGGCGGCAGUUACCAACAGCCCGGGACGGUGCGGCGUGGUUUCUGAGCCUCACCGCCCCGUCCUUAAAAAUAACAGCUCUUUUUUUCCGAGCCAACCAACAAUUGUGGUCAGCCACGAAUACCAGUUUAACCAUUUGGCAGCCGCCCUAUAGGAAACAGCUCUUUGCAGAGAGCCAGAGGAGCCCUAGAGUCACGCUGGGCUGGUUUCACUCAGCAGCGCACACUUAACAGAUCUCCCUGCGUGCAGCCAGCCUCUUUAAUAACAAGCAAAUCCCGGGAAGUUAAUACCAAACAAACUGUAAAAGUGUGCAAGAACUAGUCAUUCAAAGGGAUUCUUGAUCUGAUGAACGAGUGGGUAAAGCGCUGCUCCUCCCCACACAAACUCGCAGCUUGCUCUGUAGUUCCCUCUCCACCCGUUGCGUGUUGGGACUGUCAGCAGAGUUUAUUUUGGGCUCGGUUCCACUACGCGCAGUAG